rnacentral:lncRNA from 1 species
CAGUUUAUUAUUUGUCAACUUUUCUGGGCCCAACAACAUGGGUUUCAACCAAUAUAUUUAAGGAAGCAAGAAAAGAGUCUCCAUUUGAGUCACUUGCACAUAGAUUCCUUAAAAGUAUAUAUCAAAAAUAGAAACCAAAGAAGAAGAAAAUAUAAAUUCUGACAUUGAAAAAUCUAUUUAUGCUACUUUGACAUCAUCAAAUUUGGACAUGUAUCUAUUAUUACUUUUAUUUAGACUUGGAUGUGAGUAUGUUAUUAUUACAACAUCUAAAUAGACUUUUAAUUUCCAAUAUGAGUAUAAUAUUUUUACUUUAUUAUAUAUAUAUAUAUAUAUAUAUAUAUAUAAUUUUAUUGUGAGGAUAUUGAUUUUACAAGCCAUUCCUUUUCAAGAAUUUGGAACAUAAAUUUAAAAAGAAAAUGCAAAUCUAUUUAUCACUAAAAACCAAGAUAAGUCUUUGUUUAUGCUAUCAAAUACAACAACCAUAUACUUUAGAUAUAACUAAAAAAACAUACAAAUGCAUCGUAAUACUAUAACGUUUUAGCAAUAAUUAUAAUAAUUUCUUAAAAUAUACAAUAAAAGUAAAAAAUACACAUAUGAAUGAAAAAAACAUAACUAAUAAUAAUUAGAAGCAUAUAUUUAUAAAAUAAAAUUUAUAUUACAAUACUUGAAAAAAUAGUUAAUAAUCAACAUUAUAUUAUUUUAUAUAUUCAAGAAUAUGUACAUUAUUCUAUUACAUAUUCAAAAACAUCUUAUGGUAUCCACUAUUGUUUCUUUAUUUUUGUAUAUUUUAUUAAAGUGCAUAAAAUCUGAAAAGAAUUUAAUCCAAAACUUUAUUAUAUUCGAAGGCAUUUAUGUAUUACAUGAUUAAAUUUAUUUUUAUUUCUUUAUUUCCUUAUUGAAUUUUUUACAGAGGCAAAACUACUAUUAUUUUUCAAACCUGUUGUUAUCAUGUAAAGGAUAAAAAUAAAUAAUUUUGAGCUUUCAUUGGUGUUAUUAGAUUUUUUUUGAAAAUUAAGAACAGAUGAUAAAAAAAUUUGAUUUAAAAAACAGCGACUCAAUUUCAAUAAAUUUCAUUUAUUUCAAAUUCUCCUUAAAUCUUCUUCAAGAAAAUAUGAUAAUAACCAAGUUAUAUAAAUUAAAAUUUGAAUCCUUAACUUUCAUUUAUAUUCUCAAGUGUACUCAUGAAAUCUAGAGGAACCAAAAAAAAAACAAAUUAAAAUAUUAUCUGGCGUAUUUUGAAAUAUCAGUGUAUAGAAUUCUAUUUGAGUAAGUUUCGAAAAAUGUAACAGUACUUAUGAAGUGCUUAUGAGAGUAUAAUACUAACAUUUUACUUGAAUUCAAGUUCCAGAAUAGUAAAAUUGAUCUUGAUGAAAGUGCAAAUCUUUGUUCCAACUCUUUUAAAAUUUAUUGUAAAGUAAACUUGUAGUUUUGGAGUAAAGAUUCAAUUAAAAUAUUGCAAAGAGUUUUUAGUACAUGGAGAUAUUUUCACAUCUAUUGUAAUAUCUUUUUUGAAAAAUUAAGAAACAAAUUUUGAUGACCUCAAAAACCAUAUAUAAGUAAUUACAUCAAACUAUUUAUAUAAUAAGAAAACUUAGUUAUAAGACGAAGAGAUAAAGAAGCAUUCUCAAUACCCAAUUGGUUGAGACAAAGAAGUCUUUUCAUUGGCCAAAUAUAAUAUGAUCAACAACACCACAACAAAUUUAGUUUAUUCUAAACUUUUAUUAAACUAGCUAUUUUAGAUAUUGAAGUAAAAUUUUGCUCCAUGUUUAAAAUCUGUAUAUAAAAUAUAAUUAUGUAUUUUGUAUUUUUUUUACUUCUCCAAUAUAUGAUCAAUAUUCUUUAUCUUGAAGAUAGUUAAGUCAAAAACACCACAAUAAAUAUAGUUUAUUCCAAAAUUCUUUUAACUUAGCUAUUUGAGUUGUUGUACUAAAUAAGAAUUGUGUUUGCAAAUAACAUUGGAGAAACAUAAAUGGUUCCACUAUCGAAUGAAUAU